CCCAUUCACAUCUGUUCACACCACUGCGUUGACGCACCUUCAAACCUUGUUUGUUUAACUUAAUCGUGCGUUGCUGCGUUAACGCAUCAUUUUGACGCACUGCGUCAACGCAACGAAUUCUCGAGGACACAUUCUUUUGCGUUGACGCGCUGCGUUAGUCGAGAUUUGAGUUGGAUUCAGGUACUUUGUGAUGUGGUUUGGCGAUGACUUUAAACAAAAAUCGACGAUUGAGUUUACUGUUGUGGUUGAGAAAACGGGAGGAUAAAAAAGAGAUGGAAAAUAAGAAGGUGGUGAGGCCAUUCUAUUUUGCAUAGAAGAGAAACUAGAGUUAUAAAUUCCUUGCAGUGGUCAUCGGCGCUUACGGAAGAGCAAGUGAUGGGUGAAUAUUUGCAAACUCAUGUUUUGGACAUCGCCUGCAGAAUGGAACCUUGAGUCUACCCUCACCAAGGGGCAUAUCUAUUUUCAGGCCAUUGCCAUUAACGAAUGGGCCAACCGUUACCUUUGUUUUCCUUGGUGAUGAAGCGUUUCCACUGAAAGAAUAUUUGAUGAGACCAUUUCCUGGCAAUGGUCUUUCGCAAGAGAAGAAAAUUUUAA